UACGUAGGCAGCGAGCGUUGUUCGGAGUUACUGGGCGUAAAGGGUGUGUAGGCGGUUCUCUAAGUUUGGUGUGAAAUCUCCCGGCUCAACCGGGAGGGUGCGCCAAAAACUGGGGGACUCGAGUGCGGGAUGGGAGAGUAGAAUUCCUGGUGUAGCGGUGAAAUGCGUAGAUAUCGGGAGGAACGCCAAUAGCGAAAGCGAUUCUCUAGUCCUUUCCUGACACUGAGGCGCGAAAGCUAGAGGAGCAAACAGG
rnacentral:rRNA from 1 species